GGAAAUUUGAGCAGACCGGCAGCAGAUUUUCUUUGGAGGAUUUUGCUACCAAAUAAAUAUUAAUUACAGUCCAUUUCAUUGUAAUCUUCGGAAACAUUUUGGUCCAUCCGAUUAUGUCCUCGGUCUCGGUGUUUACAAAAACAUUUUGGUAAAAUCCUCGUGUUCUUAAUUCACAACUUGGUGAAAAUCGGACAUAACCUCUUUGUGUGGCAAUGUCUCUGCAAUCAGUAAAAAAAACAGCGUGGAUUCUGCAAGGCACAAGUCACACGUGCACAUGGUCGUGCUUCGGAAUUUGUAUCAGCCGUAAAAGCCCAACGCUAUAGCAGAGAAGAAAAGAGUAGCACUCCACUCGUCCACCCCUAUCGCCAACUCGGAGGACCUGCCUGAGCGGUUGGCUACCACGCAAGCACAGCGUUUUAGAGCAGGUUCAAGAAAGCAGGUUCGAGAGUCAGACGCCCAAACGCACUUAAGAAUUGAGAAGAUCCGGACUCCAACCUUCCGACGCAAAUACGAGGACUGGCCUCAAUUUUGUGACAUGUCCAUGGGGUCCGUAGACCGACGCGAAAACCUCACUAGCUGCCAGAAAUUCCAUUACUUGAAAUCAUAUUUGGAUGGUGAAGCACUCAAUGUAGUUAAACCUAUUGCCGUCAUCGAAGAAAAUUAUGUUGAAUACGACAAAAAACCACUUAUAACGCGAUAAUUUAUUGCUGGUUUUUUGGCCUUGCCAAAUGUCGCAGCGUCUGGAAUGUCCGUCCCACGCAAGCUAGCGGACGGAGCGAACGAAUCCAUUCGAGGAUUACACGCGCUUGGUGAUCAGUGAGAUCAUGGCUAAAACACAUAUUGUUCCAUAAAUUGUAUAUGGAAAAACGCCAAUCUUGGGACGAACGGCCAGCGAACGGCUAGCGAAAUGAAUAUAGAAGCAUUUUUGGAUUUCUUGUUCUCCAUAUGCGAUGCUCUAGAAUCUUGUCAGAUUACAACCAAAACAAAUGGGAAACGUAUCGCCAGCGUACACGUCGCCAGCGUUGCCUCGAACUCGUCAGGAAGUGCUUGUGUUCUCUGCACACAGUCGCAAUCAGAAAUAACGUGCACUCAAUUUUUAUCGUUGGGCUUACUCGAUCGCCGAUCAUUCAUAAAGCAAAACAAGUUGUGCUUUAAUUGUCUAAGUUAACAUCACACUUUGGUAGAUCAAAACUCGCACCGGAGAGCAGCUCUACAAGGACUGAAGACCAUGAUGCCUACCAUACUAGCUCAGGUGGUGUACAAUUGUGGACGCCAGACGUUUUGCCGAAUUCUGCUGGAUUAGGGAUCAACUAUUGCUUUCAUUCAACGCAUCGGCGCACCUUUUAUUCAGGCACGUAUUUCGGUGAUUGGGCCGCUGGCGUAACUCUGCAAUCCUAAGUCUCAACAGAUGUCCAGGAGAUAUGAGUAUGAGUUCCUUAACCACGUCAGUUCCCGCCGAAGAGUUACGCACAAGAAAUUGGGAAGCUCUACAAGGGCUUACAUUAGCCGAUUCCACCUUCGCCACCCCGGGAGAUAUAGAUGUUAGAGUUUGUUUACAGGCCAACGAAAAUUGAUAAGUUAACCUAAUACACCUGCACUAAACACAAUUUUUGGUUGGGUAAUUGUAGACUCGGGACCCUUAUGUAAUGAACCACCAAAGCCAGCGCCAGCUAAUCAUGCUCUAAUCGAUUUGGAUGAUAUGGUGAGGAGGUUCAUGGAGAUUGAUCCUGAGCGACACUUAUCCGCAGCAGACGUUAAGUCGAUUCGUACCUUUGGAAUCCGGAAUAAGAAGGGCAAUUAUUUGCCUUUAUGGAAGAUUAUAUACAGCGCAGGCAUAUGGGAGCACUCGAAGAAUCUUGCAAAAAAAUCCAUGUUGUUUCCUAGCCCACCAUCAAAGCUGAAAGUAAAACCACCAAAUUUCGUGUUGUAUUUGACAAAUGGUAUCUCAACGAUCGCUUAUACAUCGGAUAAUUUGGCGAGAUGAUGAAAAAAAAAAUAGUUCAACACUACCGGUUAUUAACCAUUUUUGGCAGUAAGGGUCCUUAAACAAUUGGCAGAGGGCCACCUGCAUCAAUAUCCACGAGCAGCUUCAUCUUUAUUAACGGAUGCAUAUGUCGACGACAUAUCAACAGGAGCGGAUACAGAGGAAGGCCUCAUCGAAGGCUGCUAGCGGAGGCUAAGUAUAACCUACGCAAAGGAGUUCCAGUUGUAAAACUUAAAUGAAUUCUAUUCCCCCGGUGGACUGCGCUUACCAGCCAGCAACAAAGCAGUCAAAACAUGACAAAAUAUUGGGGCUGCUCUGAAAAUAUUAUGGGAUGAGCCUUUGAAUGAUCAUAUUGCCAGAAGGUAGAUAAUCUUAGCGAGCUGCUAGCAUUGUCUCAGUGUCGAAUCCCUCGAUACAUUGCCAGACCUUCGGAAACAAUUGAUCUGCACGGACUCGCGGACGCCUCUUCACAAGCAGUUGGAGCCGUUGUGUACAGUAGGGUAACAACGGUCGCCGGAACAUGGAUCACACUAGUCGGUGGCAAGACUCGGGAUUGGAACUCACCGCUGCCUAAUUACAGCUUUUUUUUGUUGGUCGGACUCUGAUAUCGUUCUUCACUGGCUGUCAGCUCCACCUCGACGAUGGAACACGUUCGUAUGUAAUAGAAUCGUCGAAAUCUUAACAGAGUAUUUCAGAAGCUGCUGGAAUCAUGUACGCGCGGAAGACCACCCGGUCGAUUGCGCCUCCCGAGGGUUGCCUCCAUCAACACUGUUUGACCACGACCUUUUUUGGAAGAGGGUCCAAGCUGAGUCGGAGUUACAUUGCCCGACCGGCACCAAAAAAAAAAAAAAAUAUGCAGCUGCACCCACCUGUACUUUGCGAUGAAAAACCUUAUAAGGAACUAAACCUUACUCUGAAAGCUAAUUCACAUCCGGAUAUUAUCGACAGUUUAAUUCAUAAACUUUCGUCUUGGAAUCAACUACUGCGGGUUGUCAGCUAUGUUUUUCGAUUUAUACAACGCGUACUCCACAAAGGUACAGCCAGGCGUACUAAUAGCUUAACAUUCCAUAUUGAACCUCACAGCGCAUACCUAACCGUAAAGAACUUGCAAUACGCCCGAGAGAGGCUAUUCAGGCACAUACAACCUACGGCUUUUCCACAAGAAUACGACGCAGCCGGGAAAUAGCAAAGACUGCCCAGAAAAUCAAAAUUGCUGAAAUUGACGCCGUUUUUGGAUGCUUUCGGACUACUACGCAUCGGCUGACGUUUUGACCGAUCGGUGUUGUCAUUCAACGCAAAACAUCCGAGUAUAGUCGCCAAGGUAUCACCGCUGGCCUGGAUGAUUGUGCGUUACGUUCACAAGGCUAAUUUGGCUCCCUGGAGUAGACGCCACUUUUCAUCACGUUCGUCAGCAAUACUGGGAGUAUGUUCGCAAGCUAGUUUUGGUGUUUGCUAUUUUAACUUUCUUAAUAUAAUUUUCGAUACUAUUAAAAGAAAUGGUCCUUUGAAAGUUAGAAGUCCAUAUAGACUGCCAUUGAACACAAGUGGCCUGAAAACCUGCGUAAUAAGUUUUACAAACGGUUUAAUGCAACUAAUAGCUCUCUUGUCUGACGAUACAUGCAGCACAAGUGGGAGUUUGAGUUCAUAAAUAUGCAAGCACCAUUCAUUUCUAGUUAAGCCAUACAUUUCACCUAGUCAGCAUCGGUUUAUUUCUGGUAGGUUAACUACCCCAAAUUUAGCCGUUUUUAGCAGCUAUUAUAUCGUCCAUUAACGUCAUUAUCAGGUGGAUGCUUUCUACUUGGACUUUGCAAAGGCAUUCGACUUAACUUGUCAUGCAAAUGAUUUCACUCCCAGUUAUUUAAAUGGAUUAAAUUAUAUCUGGAUCGGCUCACUUUUGAUAAGUGGGCUAGAAGCAUUUGCGUUAACUUGAUGUUAACAUUGAUGGUAAUCUUUCUUGCAAAUUCGUAGCAAACUCAGGCCAUCCUCGAGGCAAUACCCUCGGCCCUCUUCUUUUAAUAAUAUAUAUUAAUAUUUAUUGAAGCCUUAAAAAUAAUAGAACUUCUUCUAUAUGCUGAUGACAUCAACAUCUUUAGGUAUAUUUGCUCUGUUGCUGACACCAGUCUGUGAGGUGAAAUAGUUUGAAUUUUGACACUAUACAAUUGUGACCGAUAGACCUUUUAUUCAGAAACAUAUAUUCCUAAAAGCUACAAGCUAUAGUGAGCAGCGAUAGGAGUAUAUGCAUGCAUUGGCAUAUUUGCCUUAUGUUUGUAUAUACCACAAGACGGCUUGCUGUAAGUGUUAGUUGGUGUGAGGGCCAGUCGUCUCCGCCGGAAUGCGUGGUCAGCAUAUUAGAGCCGGCUCGUUGGCCGGACACUUGAGAAGGCUUGUGUUAAUUUGUUUGUGCAUAUACAAUCGAUAUGUUUAUGUAAUUAAAGUAGAAAUAAAACAAUAUACUCCGCUCGCUACACCUCCCCCAUUAAAAUGAUGGCGUAUAUUUAUGAAGUCAUUCUAAGACAGUUGUAAAAUUAACAGAACUUCAAAACA